CUUCUCCCACCUCAUCUCCACCAGCUUCCUCCCACAAUGCUGCAACCGCAACCCCCGCAUCAACUCCCACGGCUUCGCCUCCGUCCAAAACUGCCGCUCCAGCUCCAGCGACCAACCCCCCGGCCUCCACACCUCCGUCUGCCACACCUCCGGCUGCUACACCUCCAGCGGUCACACCUCCAGCAGCCACACCUCCGUCUGCCACACCUCCAGCAGCUACACCUCCGGCUGCCACACCUCCAGCAGCUACACCUCCGGCUGCCACACCUCCAGCAGCCACACCUCCAGCAGCCACACCUCCUGCAGUCACACCUCCAGCGGCCACACCUCCGACUGCCACAACUCCAACAGCCACACCUCCUGCGGCCACACCUCCUGCUUUGACCCCAGUGAGCACACCGCCGGCGCAAGUUCCGGUGAGCUCUCCCC
rnacentral:lncRNA from 1 species